rnacentral:rRNA from 1 species
UAGGGAAUUUUCGUCAAUGGGGGCAACCCUGAACGAGCAAUGCCGCGUGAGCGAAGAAGGUCUUCGGAUUGUAAAGCUCUGUUGCCGGGGAAAAAGGAAGGAAAGAGGAAAUGCUUUUCUUUGGACGGUACCCGGCCAGAAAGUCACGGCUAACUACGUGCCAGCAGCCGCGGUAAUACGUAGGUGGCAAGCGUUAUCCGGAAUGAUUGGGCGUAAAGGGUGAGCAGGCGGUUCUUCAAGUCAUGAGUGAAAGGCAGAAGCUUAACUUCUGUUGGCUGAUGAGACUGGAGAACUUGAGUACAGGAGAGGGCGGCGGAACUCCAUGUGUAGCGGUAAAAUGCGUAGAGAUAUGGAAGAACACCAGUGGCGAAGGCGGCCGCCUGGACUGAAACUGACGCUCAGGCACGAAAGCGUGGGGAGCAAAU